rnacentral:rRNA from 1 species
GAUGAACGCUGGCGGCGUGCCUAAUACAUGCAAGUCGAGCGAACCACUUCGGUGGGAAGCGGCGAACGGGUGAGUAACACGUAGGUGAUCUGCCCAUCAGACGGGGACAACGAUUGGAAACGAUCGCUAAUACCGGAUAGGACGAAAGUUUAAAGAUGCUCCUGGCAUCACUGAUGGAUGAGCCUGCGGCGCAUUAGCUAGUUGGUGGGGUAAAGGCCUACCAAGGCGACGAUGCGUAGCCGACCUGAGAGGGUGAACGGCCACACUGGGACUGAGACACGGCCCAGACUCCUACGGGAGGCAGCAGUAGGGAAUCUUCGGCAAUGGGCGAAAGCCUGACCGAGCAACGCCGCGUGAAUGAAGAAGGCCUUCGGGUUGUAAAAUUCUGUUAUAAGGGAAGAAAGGUGAUAGGAGGAAAUGACUAUCAAUGACGGU